rnacentral:rRNA from 1 species
GACGAACGCUGGCGGCGUGCCUAAUACAUGCAAGUAGAACGCUGAAGCUUGGUGCUUGCACCGAGCGGAUGAGUUGCGAACGGGUGAGUAACGCGUAGGUAACCUGCCUGGUAGCGGGGGAUAACUAUUGGAAACGAUAGCUAAUACCGCAUGAUAUUGAUUAUUGCAUGAUAGUCAAUUAAAAGGUGCAAUUGCAUCACUACCAGAUGGACCUGCGUUGUAUUAGCUAGUUGGUGAGGUAACGGCUCACCAAGGCAACGAUACAUAGCCGACCUGAGAGGGUGAUCGGCCACACUGGGACUGAGACACGGCCCAGACUCCUACGGGAGGCAGCAGUAGGGAAUCUUCGGCAAUGGACGGAAGUCUGACCGAGCAACGCCGCGUGAGUGAAGAAGGUUUUCGGAUCGUAAAGCUCUGUUGUAAGAGAAGAACGAGUGUGAGAGUGGAAAGUUCACACUGUG